UACGAAGGGGGCUAGCGUUGCUCGGAAUGACUGGGCGUAAAGGGCGCGUAGGCGGUUCGUACAGUCAGACGUGAAAUUCCCGGGCUCAACCUGGGGGCUGCGUUUGAUACGUACGGGCUUGAGUUCGGAAGAGGGUCGUGGAAUUCCCAGUGUAGAGGUGAAAUUCGUAGAUAUUGGGAAGAACACCGGUGGCGAAGGCGGCGACCUGGUCCGAUACUGACGUGAGGCGCGAAAGCGUGGGGAGCAAACAGG
rnacentral:rRNA from 1 species